CGGCGCCGGCCCCUCUCACCCUUUCAUUCUCUGCCCUGGGCCUGGCGCGGGCCGGCGAAUCCCCGACCUCACAUCAGAGUGAGAGGCGCUGGCAAUGGACUGGGAAGCUCGGCUGCCGCUGCUACUGCUCCCCCCUGGGCUCCGGCGAGAGCCUUGCCCUGUCAAGCAAGAGGGGUGAGGAUCAUAUUUUUAUUUUGGAAACUAAAAAGUGCUCCCAGGGUCGGUGAUUAUUAAGGGGAAAUCCCUGAAUAUACUCUCCAGCCAAGAAGGCAGGGCUGCCGGGUCUGCACAAGAAGAGGCAGCAGCCUCCUACAGCACCACUACAGGCACUGCGAGGACAUAACACCAGACCGCCGCUCCUCUGCCCUCCGAAACGACAACUUUCCUACCAUCUUGGAGGCAGAGCAAAGGGGGGCCAGGGGGAAAAGUGCACCCGCUCCCGAUAAAGUACAAAUUUCUACUUCUCGUCUUUGGAAAAAAGUCCGCUCCGGCCGUCUACACCGGCGCCUGGGGGAAAAAGCAGGGAAGAAACUGGGGAUGCUUGAGAAACGUUUUCAUUUGCACCUGGGGGGAAAAUGUUUCUGCAUCUUCUGAUGGAAAGAAUUCUUUACAAGACACAGGUUUUCCGGUGAUUAUUUUCUAUUUUCUAUUUAAUUUUUUCCAUGUGAGUGACAGUGGUGUUCUAAUUUUUUUUUUCAGGCUAAUGAUAAUUUUUCUCCAUUAUAGAUCAAAGUUCUGUGUCUGGUGGUCAGUUUAUGAAUUUGUACAAGUGACUUGAUAACCACUUUGUUUGCUUGUUUGCAUGUUUAUUAUAAUAGAUAUAUUUUAUCUGUUUCUUUAUAUUAUAUAUAAAAAUGUGCGGUAUGUAUUGCCCCUCAAAACUCACAUUGCCGAAGGACAGUUGUGAAGGGAUGUCUUUUGUCUUCUUUUCUUAAAGCAUUGUUAAUAAAACCUAUUGAUUGUCC